CCUUGAAAUACCACCCUUUAAUGUUUGAUGUUCUAACGUGGACCCGUAAUCCGGGUUGCGGACAGUGUCUGGUGGGUAGUUUGACUGGGGCGGUCUCCUCCUAAAGAGUAACGGAGGAGCACGAAGGUUGGCUAAUCCUGGUCGGACAUCAGGAGGUUAGUGCAAUGGCAUAAGCCAGCUUGACUGCGAGCGUGACGGCGCGAGCAGGUGCGAAAGCAGGUCAUAGUGAUCCGGUGGUUCUGAAUGGAAGGGCCAUCGCUCAACGGAUAAAAGGUACUCCGGGGAUAACAGGCUGAUACCGCCCAAGAGUUCAUAUCGACGGCGGUGUUUGGCACCUCGAUGUCGGCUCAUCACAUCCUGGGGCUGAAGUAGGUCCCAAGGGUAUGGCUGUUCGCCAUUUAAAGUGGUACGCGAGCUGGGUUUAGAACGUCGUGAGACAGUUCGGUCCCUAUCUGCCGUGGGCGCUGGAGAAUUGAGGGGGGCUGCUCCUAGUACGAGAGGACCGGAGUGGACGCAUCACUGGUGUUCGGGUUGUCAUGCCAAUGGCACUGCCCGGUAGCUAAAUGCGGAAGAGAUAAGUGCUGAAAGCAUCUAAGCACGAAACUUGCCCCGAGAUGAGUUCUCCCUGACUCCUUGAGAGUCCUGAAGGAACGUUGAAGACGACGACGUUGAUAGGCCGGGUGUAUAAGCGCAGCGAUGCGUUGAGCUAACCGGUACUAAUGAACCGUGAGGCUUAACCUUACAACGCCGAAG
rnacentral:rRNA from 1 species